AUACGGAGGGGGCUAGCGUUGUUCGGAAUUACUGGGCGUAAAGCGCGCGGAGGCGGAUUGAUCAGUCAGGGGUGAAAUCCCGGAGCUUAACUCCGGAACUGCCUUUGAUACUGUCAAUCUUGAGUUCGAGAGAGGUGAGUGGAAUUCCUAGUGUAGAGGUGAAAUUCGUAGAUAUUAGGAAGAACACCAGUGGCGAAGGCGGCUCACUGGCUCGAUACUGACGCUGAGGUGCGAAAGCGUGGGGAGCAAACAGGAUUAGAUACCCUAGUAGUCC
rnacentral:rRNA from 1 species